rnacentral:rRNA from 1 species
AUUGAACGCUGGCGGCAGGCAUAACACAUGCACGUCGAACGAGCGGCGGACGGGUGAGUAAUGUAUGGGAAUCUGGCUGAUAGAGGGGGAUAACUACUGGAAACGGUUGCUAAUACCGCGUACUAUAGGAUGAACCCUGAUGGGAUUAGCUAGUAGGUGGGGUAAAGGCUCACCUAGUCGACGAUCUGUAGCUGGUCUGAGAGGCUGAUCAGCCACACUGGGACUAAGACCGUGCCCAGACUCCUACGGGAAGCAGCAGUGGUGAAUAUGUCACAAUGGGCGCAAGCCUGAUGCAGCCAUGCCGCGGGUAUGAAGAAGGCCUUAGGGUUGUAAAGUACUUUCAGCGGGGAGGCGUUACCCGCAGAAGAAGCACCGGCUAACUCCGUGCCAGCAGCCGCGGUAAUAC